CACUAAAAGUGUACUAAUAAUAUAAAUUUACAUAAAUUGUAUUAAAACACCCUUAAUAUCUUCCACCAAUCCAAUUGUUUUAUGUUGCAGUUACUGUUUGCUGAUGAUUCUUUGUUGUUUUUUAGAAAGGAUAACAAUUCUGUUCAAAAUCUUCAACGCAUUUUGAAAUGGUAUUGCUCCAUUUCGGGUCAAUCCAUCAACCUGGCCAAAUUAGAUGUGUUUUGCUCACCAAACAUGCCUAAGGAGGAGCAAAUAUGCCUAGCCAGAACCCUUCAGGUCAAUCUAGUUCAACAUCCCAGCAAGUACCUUGGUGUUCAAUUCAAGUUGAGAGGUAAUAGAGUUGCUGACUUUCAGUUUCUUAUUGAUAAACUUAAAGCAAAACUUCAAGGAUGGAAGAUGGAACUCUUUUCUCAAGCUGGUAGAACAACAUUAAUAGCCUCUGUUUUGCAAUCCCUUCCUUUAUAUUCCUUUUCAUGCUUUAAAGUUCCUGACCAUGUUUGCAACAAAAUUGAUUCUAUUGUUCGCGCUUUUUGGUGGGGUCAUGAAUAUGGGGAGAAGAAGCUUCAUUUACUUAAUUGGGAUAGGAUCAGUCAACCUAAGGGGAGAGGUGGGUUGGGCAUUAAGAAAUUCAAGUACAUGAACCAAGCUAUUCUGAAUAAACAAUACGGGAGAAUUUGUCAUAAUCCCCAAUCCCUUCUAGCUAAAACCUUUAAGGCCAGGUAUUUUCCUACCUGUUCUAUCAUGACUAUAGGUCUAAGCCUCAUCACUCUUGGGUUUGGAGAAAUAUCAUGAAAUAGGAAAACCAUGUUUUAAGAGAAGGAAAGUGGAGAGUUGGAGAUGGGUACAAUAUUCCUCUCACUCAUAGGUACUAGUUUCCUCAUUCAACUCUGAAUUUAUCACAGCAUCAUCUACCUACAGGUACUGUGGGGGAUUUGAUUGACCACAAUACUAGAAGUUGGAAAAUGGACUUGGUUAGAAGGCUGUAUCUGUUUUCCCAAGCCUUGAAAAUUUUCAAAUUCCAAUUUCUAAGACUAAUUCUAUGUAGGAUAACCUUCUUUGGAGGUCCUCUAAGAAUGGGGAGUACCAAGUAAAGAAAGCUUAUGAGCUUUUAACUAGAGAUGAUGCAAGUCACCCUCGGUAUUUUCAAGCUAAUAUGGGAUGGUGGAGAACUUUUUGGAAGAUCAAAGUGCCUCUGAAAAUUAGUACUUUCAUCUGGAAACUACUCCACAAUUGUCUUCCUACUUUUCUUCAUCUUCAUGCCAGAGGUACAGGGACUCUCUCUCAAGAAGCAGCACCUCAGCAGACAGAGAAGGCAGAUGCACCAGAUCAGAGGGGCAAUCUGCGGCAGGGGACUGGCAGCUAAUUAUCAAGAUUGCAGGAGUUAGAAGCAGGAGACCAUAUAGAAAUGGCACUGCUUAUGAAGCUCUAACAAUUCAGGGAGAAAGGGUGUUUUUUGGAGUGAACAGUAGCAAUGCUAGAACAUCAAUUGGGGCACUGUUGGAGGCUGUGGUUGAAGCUGGUAUGGCAGCUAAGGACCAAGGUUUUCACCAUGUUUUGUAUCUCACUGACAGCAGGAAACUUUUGCAGACCUUCAAGAUGAAAACAGCUUCGGAUUGGCUUGAUAGUACUAGACUAGCCGAUCUGAGUUUUUUGUCUGCUUCUGGUUUUCAUUGUGAUAUGCUUUGUGUUCCCCAUGUGGUUGUUAAAGAGUCUUGGACUGUAGCUAAAUUGGCAACGCGUGAGCCAAUUCAUUUUUGUUGGGUUUCUCCAAUUGCUGCUGGUAUGAUGUAACCUGUACUGUAUAUGUUUUUCUCCCUUGAAUGGUAUGGAAAAAAUGUUGCAACUUCCUCCUCAGCUUUAUCUUCCCCAAAUGUUAGAAUUAGGUUCAAUGUAACAAAUGAAUCAUAUAGUGACAGUAAGAAAUACAGUCUAA